rnacentral:lncRNA from 1 species
AAUCUUAAAAAAAAGACUUUAUUGAGAUGUAAUUCUCAUAGCAUACUAUUCACCAGUGGGAGACAAUUUUGGGAGUCACAACUUGAGGUGGGGGUGGGGGAACGCUACAGGCGUGUAGUGGGCAGAGGCCAGGGCUGCGGCGAAAAUCCUACAGCUCUGCACCCGACAGCCCCCCACAGCAGGACCAAGAGUGAUCCCGCCCCAAAUAUCAACAAUGCUGAGCCUGAGACACCCUCAUCCACCGCCUUGGCGCAUUUCUCUGCAGGGUCCUUUCUUGCAAGGAGCUCACAGCCGAGCAGCAGAGACGGGAAGAGCCUAACAAGAAGGGGGAUCAUCUCAAUCUCCCCCGAACCAUUUUAUUUUGAAGUAAUCUCUACACCCAGUGUGGGCCUCGAACUUACAACCCCAAGAUCAAGAAUCACAUGCUUUACCAACUGAGCCAGCCAGGCGCCCUGUGUAACUAUCUUUAUUGUAAUAUUCACAUCUUUCCAGAGCUGGCCGCCGGAAGCUCUUUUAAGCCGGCUCCUGUGUGACUGGGAAUUUAUCCGGAAGAAGCAUUUCCCUGUGGAUUGGAUGGGCUGAGCGUGAGAGAGGAGAGGAGGCUAGAGUUUUUUUUUCAGCAGAUACUUACUGCCAGGGACUAGGAAUCAAACAGUGAUAAAAACAGUCAAAAGUUCCUGCUCUUGGAGACCUCAGGAUUGGUGGUAGCAGAUCCCGGGGAGGGGCUUACUGGUGGAGAGAGGGCACAGAGUUUAGGAGGAGAAUCUGGAACUGGGUCUUUUUUUUUAAGAUUUUGUUUAUUUGACAGAGAGACACAGCAAGAGAGGGAACACAAGCAGGGGGAGUGGGAGAGGAAGAGGCAGGCUCCCAGCGGAGCAGGGAGCCCGAUGCGGGGCUCGAUCCCAGAACCCUGGGAUCACGCCCUGAGCCGAAGGCAGACGCUUAACGACUGAGCCACCCAGGUGCCCCUGGAACUGGGUCUUGGACAAGUCGAGCUGAGGUGGGGUAGACAGAGACGCCUCUUGUCCU